UAGAGGAAGUAAAAGUCGUAACAAGGUCUCCGUAGGUGAACCUGCGGAGGGAUCAUUACACAAAUAUGAAGGCGGGCUGGAACCUCUCGGGGUUACAGCCUUGCUGAAUUAUUCACCCUUGUCUUUUGCGUACUUCUUGUUUCCUUGGUGGGUUCGCCCACCACUAGGACAAACAUAAACCUUUUGUAAUUGCAAUCAGCGUCAGUAACAAAUUAAUAAUUACAACUUUCAACAACGGAUCUCUUGGUUCUGGCAUCGAUGAAGAACGCAGCGAAAUGCGAUAAGUAGUGUGAAUUGCAGAAUUCAGUGAAUCAUCGAAUCUUUGAACGCACAUUGCGCCCUUUGGUAUUCCAAAGGGCAUGCCUGUUCGAGCGUCAUUUGUACCCUCAAGCUUUGCUUGGUGUUGGGCGUCUUGUCUCUAGCUUUGCUGGAGACUCGCCUUAAAGUAAUUGGCAGCCGGCCUACUGGUUUCGGAGCGCAGCACAAGUCGCACUCUCUAUCAGCAAAGGUCUAGCAUCCAUUAAGCCUUUUUUUCAACUUUUGACCUCGGAUCAGGUAGGGAUACCCGCUGAACUUAAGCAUA
rnacentral:rRNA from 1 species